CACGGGGGGAGCAAGCGUUGUUCGGAAUCACUGGGCGUAAAGGGCGUGUAGGCGGUCAGGUAAGUGGAAUGUGAAAGCCCUCGGCUCACCCGAGGAUCUGCAUUCCAAACUGCCUGGCUUGAGUAUGGGAGAGGAUGAGGGAAUUCCUGGUGUAGCGGUGAAAUGCGUAGACAUCAGGAGGAACACCGGUGGCGAAGGCGCUCAUCUGGCCCAAUACUGACGCUGAGGCGCGAAAGCUAGGGGAGCAAACGGG
rnacentral:rRNA from 1 species